rnacentral:rRNA from 1 species
ACGAACGCUGGCGGCGUGCCUAAUACAUGCAAGUCGAACGCACUCUCGUUUAGAUUGAAGGAGUUUGCUCCUGAUUGAUAAACAUUUGAGUGAGUGGCGGACGGGUGAGUAACACGUGGGUAACCUGCCCUAAAGUGGGGGAUAACAUUUGGAAACAGAUGCUAAUACCGCAUAAAACCUAACACCGCAUGGUGUAGGGUUGAGAGAUGGUUUCGGCUAUCACUUUAGGAUGGACCCGCGGUGCAUUAGUUAGUUGGUGAGGUAAAGGCUCACCAAGACCGUGAUGCAUAGCCGACCUGAGAGGGUAAUCGGCCACACUGGGACUGAGACACGGCCCAGACUCCUACGGGAGGCAGCAGUAGGGAAUCUUCCACAAUGGACGAAAGUCUGAUGGAGCAACGCCGCGUGAGUGAAGAAGGUUUUCGGAUCGUAAAACUCUGUUGUUGGAGAAGAAUGUAUCUGAUAGUAACUGAUCAGGUAGUGACGGUAUCCAACCAGAAAGCCACGGCUAACUACGUG